UGGAGUUUGGCGGUGAGGAGGCUUGAUGGUGGUAGAAGAAAAUUCCGCAAGGUGCCUGAAGAAAAAAGCCUUCACCUGGGAUGGCGUUGGGGCUAGCCUAUUACUAAACGCCCUGCAGACUCAGUAACUUCCAGAGAAGUCUCCGCUGUGGCCCAGACCAAAGAAAAACAAGGGAGAAGAAACGCAAAAGAGCCAACAAAAGGAAGAGAGACAACAAAUCGAGGCCGACCUGAUGGAGUGGAAGAGUGAACCGGCCCUUGAGGUCGGAGGCCUAGGAUGCCCAGCGAGGGGGGCGUGGGGGGCGGGGGACUCGUCCUGAAGGGAGUUACCUUCAGCACAGCCCAGCUCCACCUGUGCCUGGACUUGAUUCCCCACCCCACCCCACUCCCCCCGCAGCACUUCCCCUAAGUGGCUCUAUCCCUUCUGCACAUGCUCUGUCUGCUCAUAGCUAGCAAUCUGGGAAAUGUUGCCUAGCCUUCAGAGGACAAAACCAGAAAGCGGGUUUGGUCUUUCGUGGCUGAGUCCUUGGCCCUUGCUGCUCCCAGGCAGCCCUCUCCCGAGCGCCCGAAUGACAGCCCCUGCACCCUCCACCCCACUUCGCACUCCUUGGCCUCCCAUUCGCAGGGCUGGGAUUUUCUGGCACAGCGGGACAAAGUCCGGGGGGCAGCCUGCGCUGCCGGAGACCAGCGGCAGGUGCGACCAGGUACUGAUAUGGAAUCCUGAACGUAAGAAAACUUGUUCUCGAAGGCUUGCUGGGUUAGCCAGAAGUGGACCAAGCCCUGAGAGUGUUCUAUAAACACACCAUGAGCAGUGCUGGCUGGAGAGUCUGACUGGGGAGAUGUGGACUUGAGAGGUCGUUGUCAACCGAACAAGGAUUCACUCUUUCAAGCUGCUACUGUGGCAACCAGCUUUGCACGUGCUCUGACUUUGGAGAGGCAGAGCCAGACUGCACCCAUCUUGAGUGUGGGCCUCAGGCUCUUGAGGGACAGAGGCAUCCUUCAUUUUCUUGUUGAUAUUGAGAUCCGGCUCAGCACCCCAUGGCUACACAUCCCCACCCCCUGCGGGAAGUUGACAGCCUGACUGUGGAAGCCUGUGGCUUUGCAGUUGAUCAGUUCAGUGCUCGUGGCUUCGAGGAACAGAAAACCCUAACUCUUGGGGCGCCUGGGUGGCACAGCGGUUAAGCAUCUGCCUUCGGCUCAGGGCGUGAUCCCGGCGUUAUGGGAUCGAGCCCCACAUCAGGCUCUUCCGCUAUGAGCCUGCUUCUUCCUCUCCCACUCCCCCUGCUUGUGUUCCCUCUCUCACUGGCUGUCUCUAUCUCUGUCGAAUAAAUAAAUAAAAUCUUUAAAAAAAAAAAAAAGAAAAGAAAACCCUAACUCUUCACUGGCUUAUGCAUAAGGGGAUGUAUUAUUGCCAUGAUAGUCUGUCCAGAGUUUGAGCAAGCUCCAGGCACAGUACAACCAUGUGGCUCAAUGAUGUCAUCAAGGAUCCAGGUUCUUUCUGUCUUUUCCCUCCCAUCCUCUGUGAGCUGGCAUUGGCCCAAACUGGUUACCUUCAUGGCUGACCAGGGUUGUGGCAGUGAUGCAGCCAGGCUGGGUCUGAGCACCCAGACGAGGGUCCUGCAGGACCAGCCAAGACAGCCCUGGCUACAUGCCCUGAUCAAACGCAAGCUGGAGAAAGUGAAAACUGAAUUUAUUGAAUAGUGUGAAUGACUGGUAAAGAAGAGCACACUGGGAGACUCAGAAAGCAAAGGAGAACGAGUCUCGUCAUCACUUGGGAUUAGGAGUUUACAUUGCAAAGGGGUCGAGGGUACGUCUUCCUUUAGGAAUCCAGGGUGGGGUCUGAUCAAAGGCAGGUGACAGGUGAGUAAUAGGUGUUAUCAAUUACCAGAGGUAGGGGUAUUGAUGCCAGUGUGAGCUGAGGUUUGUCUGAAGCUAAUGUCCUGGAACGUGGUCAGGAUCUGGCUCUUCUUAGGUGUUAUCAGGUGUUUGCGGGCCUAGGGCAGAACUAGAGAAUGGUUAACUUUCUUGUUUCCUCCUUGAAGUGGGAACAUAGCUUUUUUGGCUUAUUUAGAGACAAAUAUAGAGUAUGAGUAAAUGGGGCUUAGCAGAAAAACAGCAGAGAUGGAGACUUUCUCACUCUCUCUCUCUCUCUCUCUUUUUUUUAGAUUUUUAUUUAUUUAUUUGAGAGAGAGAGAGAACAUAAGU